UUGAACGCUGGCGGCAUGCUUUACACCUGCAAGUCGGACGGUAACAGGCCUUCGGGUGCUGACGAGUGGCGAACGGGUGAGUAAUGCAUCGGAACGUACCCAGAGGUGGGGGAUAACGCAGCGAAAGCUGUGCUAAUACCGCAUGUGAUCUGAGGAUGAAAGCGGGGGACCGAGCAGCAAUGUUUGGCCUCGCGCCUUUGGAGCGGCCGAUGUCGGAUUAGCUAGUUGGUGGGGUAAAGGCCUACCAAGGCGACGAUCCGUAGCUGGUCUGAGAGGACGACCAGCCACACUGGGACUGAGACACGGCCCAGACUCCUACGGGAGGCAGCAGUGGGGAAUUUUGGACAAUGGGCGCAAGCCUGAUCCAGCAAUGCCGCGUGCGGGAAGAAGGCCUUCGGGUUGUAAACCGCUUUUGGCAGGAACGAAACUGUGUCCGCUAAUACCGGGCGCUAAUGACGGUACCUGCAGAAUAAGCACCGGCUAACUACGUG
rnacentral:rRNA from 1 species